UACGGAGGGUCCGAGCGUUAUCCGGAAUCAUUGGGUUUAAAGGGUCCGUAGGCGGGCGUCUAAGUCAGAGGUGAAAUUCUGCAGCUCAACUGUAGAACUGCCUUUGAUACUGGUCGUCUUGAAUCGUUGUGAAGUGGCUAGAAUUUGUAGUGUAGCGGUGAAAUGCUUAGAUAUUACAUAGAAUACCGAUUGCGAAGGCAGGUCACUGGCUACGCAUUGACGCUGAUGGACGAAAGCGUGGGGAGCGAACGGG
rnacentral:rRNA from 1 species